rnacentral:rRNA from 1 species
UACGAAGGGUGCAAGCGUUACUCGGAAUUACUGGGCGUAAAGCGUGCGUAGGUGGUGAGUUAAGUCUGUCGUGAAAGCCCCGGGCUCAACCUGGGAAUGGCGAUGGAUACUGGCUCGCUAGAGUGCGGUAGAGGAGAGUGGAAUUCCUGGUGUAGCGGUGGAAUGCGCAGAUAUCAGGAGGAACACCAAUGGCGAAGGCAGCUCUCUGGUACAUGAUUGACGCUGAGACGCGAAAGCGUGGGUAGCAAACAGG